AUUCCUAGAAGCCACCAUCUAAGAGCACUGGUGUUCAGUACAUGCUGAGUCUGCUGAUACCUUGGUCUUGGACCUUCUAGGUGCCAAACUGUACAGAGGGAGUCAUUCACAGUCUUCAAGAGAGUGCACUUCAUAGUCUACAAGCAUAUUCCCAUCUUGAAAUAUGUUCCGUGCAGUUGUCAGAAGAGAAAACACACCUUGAGCUAAAGAAAUCAUUUCACUGUAAACGGCUACUGGAAUGACAG